rnacentral:tRNA from 1 species
AAAAAAUUAGUUAAAUUAUAACAUUAGUAUGUCAAACUAAAAUUAUUAAACUAUUAAUAUUUUUUG